GCGUGUGUUACAUUUUAGUGUUGUGUUUCUGUUGUGUCGUAGUUUUCCUGUUAUAUUUGAUGUGCUUCCUUUAGUUUAAGUUUGUAACCACGGAUUUCUUUUUUUUCUCAAUUAAUUUAUGACUUUCGAACAGCGGUAUACUACUGUUGCCUUUAUUUAACACAAUAAUCGGACAAUGUCUGAAAAAGUCGAUUGCUUUUUCUUCUGCAAACAACAACGAACAUCAUUUGAAAAAC
rnacentral:lncRNA from 1 species